GCUAUAUUUUUAGAUAACUAUGACAAUGCCUUAAGACUAAGACUGUUUCACCCUUUUCAGUCAUAAGAGUCAAAUCUUGGAAAUUCCUAUACAAACAAGGAAUGGAUAUUAUUACAAAUAAAAAGAACACACAAAGGAAACAGGAGGUAAAUUUUAUUUAUGUCUGGAUUAGAAUGUAGAUGGUCAAGACCAUUUAUGUCACGGCUUUUCCAUAUGGGAUAUUUCCUAACUCUGCUUUAAUAUGAAAGAAGUGAGAAAAUAAAUAUAAAUAUAAAAAUGUUGCCCCAAAUUGCAAGGCAUCUACGUAUUCCAUAUUUGCCAUGUAUAUGAACAGGAAAGGAAAGAGAAUGCUAUAAAAUUUGAUAAAUUUCUUUGAUUGAUUCAUAUGUUUUCAUAGUCAAACAGAAAGGAGAGAAUGGGAAAAAGAGGGGAUCCCUGAAAUGAUGAGAUAAAGCCAGUAUGCCAGCAUUCAUCUGACAGACCAUGAUAGCUCUCCUCUUCUUGUGUUCAUCAGCUAAUGCAGGGAUUGAGUUACAAAGAAAGUACUAGGUUGAAGAAAGGAGGUACCCUUGAUCUCUGGAAACAAAGAAGUGUUUCUCCUGAGGAAAUCACAAUAUUAUUUUAAAGCAACAAAAAUCUCAUUGAAUUGCUCUUUUGGACUAUCAAAAGUGGGAGAUAUGGAGAGCUGAUGGUAGAUAGAUAUAUAGAUAGAUAAUAGAAGAUAUAUUUGUGCACAUUACAUUAUUAUAAUAAAGGGAAUUUUUAAAAAUGAUAUGCUGGAUGGAUGCAUUUGCCAUCUCUCUUGAGUCUAUUGUUUAUUUUAGGGGUUAUGAACAUGCACAACAUGAUAAUAUUCACAUAUACAGGUUUCAAGUUGUUUUGGGCCAAGAAAAGUAUGAUUUCAGAAGUCUCAGUCCAUAGAUGGCCAGCUGCAUCGCUCUGGGCCUGAGUUGAGGCAGAACAUCAUGGCAGAAGAGUGGUGGAGGAAAGUGACUCAGGACAUAGCACCAUGAAGCAGAAAGAACAAUCACCUAAUAUUUUUAAUGUUUUCUGUCCAUUUUCCAGCACAGUGUGCCUCAGCCAUAACUCCUCUUGACAGAACAGUUGAUUCCCCAAUACAGCUAGGAGACAGUGGAGAUGAAUCCACCUAGUAAUCGCCACCUAGUCUUUUCUUGGUAAGCAUUAUGCUGAGUGGUGAAUGAACUCAUCAGAUUCCUUCCUGACAGCAGGGCUGUUUAAUUUUGUUUUGAGAAGGAGAAGGAAAGAAAGGAGAUACUAAUAAGAUACCUGAUAAGUAACAAAGGACAGUCUUUCCAGGGGCAAAAGUAUCCAGAGUCACCUUUUCUGGUACUCUUGAUGCUUUCAGACUUUGGAAUAGGCAGGAAAAAGGUUCCCACCAUUUGAUACCCCCAAAUAAGCAUUUAAGUGAAACAGG
rnacentral:lncRNA from 1 species